CGCUCAGCCCCCAGGGCAUCCUCGGAGCAUCCUGCAUCCCACCGCUCUUCCCGGGAACGCCCCCUCUGCGAUGCCAGGGAGAUGCUCCAGCAGCACCCGCCUGCCCCACGGGAUGCCUGACCCCAUAGGAGGAUGCUGAGGAUGGUCCGGAUGAUGCCGAUUCUGCUUUUGGGAUCAAGCAGCCCGAGGCUCCGGACCCAAGCCCUGGGAUCCUCUGGAUGCUCUCCGAGCCCUGUGUCCAUGGGGACCGAAGGGAAGAGGAGCUCCCGGGUAGGUGCAGGGAUGAUGGGCACGGUGCAGCCGGUGCCGUCAGAUGGUGCAGCGGGUGAGGAGUUCUGCUUCCAGGGAUGCUGCUGCCUCCUGUCCUGCUCUGCAUCUCCCGCAGCACCGCGGUGCUGAGCCUGGGCAAGACACCGAGGAGCACCCAACCCAUCAUGGAGACCAAGGCACGGGGUAAGGCGGGAUGAGAUGUGCCGGGACAUGGGGUACCGCGAGCUGCCGUCACCCCCUCUCCUCUCUUCUAGACCAAUGGAGCAGCACCCACAAGGUCUCCACCAGGAGAUGUCGCACAGCAGGGAUGCGGAUGGCAGCACGAUCCCCACAAGCCUGUUUCAUCCCAACCUUCCUGGGGAGAUGGGAUCCCAGGCCGGACAUCCCUAGUGAUGUGCAGGGUUUGCUCUGGCUGGUUUGCAUUGAAUAGAAACCUCUGAAGCAG